rnacentral:rRNA from 1 species
UACGAAGGGGGCUAGCGUUGCUCGGAAUCACUGGGUUUAAAGGGUGCGUAGGUGGGUCUGUAAGUCAGUGGUGAAAUCUCCAAGCUUAACUUGGAAACUGCCGUUGAUACUAUAGACCUUGAAUGCUGUGGAGGUGAGCGGAAUAUGUCAUGUAGCGGUGAAAUGCUUAGAUAUGACAUAGAACACCAAUUGCGAAGGCAGCUCACUACCCAGAUAUUGACACUGAGGCACGAAAGCGUGGGGAUCAAACAGG